UACGUAGGGGGCUAGCGUUGUCCGGAAUCAUUGGGCGUAAAGAGCGCGUAGGCGGCUGGAAUAGUCCGGUGUGAAAUCCACAGGCUUAACCUGUGAAUGCCGCUGGAAACUGUCUGGCUAGAGUCCGGAAGGGGCGAGUGGAAUUCCUGGUGUAGCGGUGAAAUGCGCAGAUAUCAGGAGGAACACCAAUGGCGAAGGCAGCUCGCUGGGACGGGUACUGACGCUGAGGCGCGAAAGCGUGGGGAGCGAACAGG
rnacentral:rRNA from 1 species